GACGAACGCUGGCGGCGUGCCUAACACAUGCAAGUCGAGCGGAGAAAUUAAAGCUUGCUUUAAUUUCUUAGCGGCGGACGGGUGAGUAACACGUGGGCAACCUGCCCUUGAGAGGGGGAUAACACAGAGAAAUUUGUGCUAAUACCGCAUAACAUUUAGACUUCGCCUGGAGCUUAAAUCAAAGGAGUAAUCCGCUCAAGGAUGGGCCCGCGGCGCAUUAGCUAGUUGGUGAGGUAAUGGCUCACCAAGGCGACGAUGCGUAGCCGACCUGAGAGGGUGAUCGGACACAUUGGAACUGAGACACGGUCCAGACUCCUACGGGAGGCAGCAGUGGGGAAUAUUGCGCAAUGGGGGAAACCCUGACGCAGCAACGCCGCGUGAGCGAUGAAGGCCUUCGGGUUGUAAAGCUCUGUCUUUGGGGACGAUAAUGACGGUACCCAAGGAGGAAGCCACGGCUAACUACGUGCCAGCCGCCGCGGUAAUAC
rnacentral:rRNA from 1 species